rnacentral:rRNA from 1 species
UACAGGGGGUGCAAACGUUGCUCGGAAUUAUUGGGCGUAAAGCGCGCGUAGGCGGUCGCUUAAGUCGGAUGUGAAAGCCCCUGGCUCAACUGGGGAAGUGCACCCGAAACUGAGUGGCUAGAAUACGACAGAGGGUCGCGGAAUUCCCGGUGUAGAGGUGAAAUUCGUAGAUAUCGGGAGGAACACCGGCGGCGAAGGCGGCGACCUGGGUCGAUAUUGACGCUGAGGCGCGAAAGCGUGGGGAGCAAACAGG